ACUAAUAGAUAAAAUCCCCUUUAGUUCUCUCUCUCUAACAUUCACCAUCACUCUCUCUACCCCCCAUCUCUCUCUCACUCAUUCACAACCAAACCCUCAACAUUGCCCCCAUCUUGAAAUUGAAAGUGGGAUUAUAUGAAGCUUCUUUCUCUCUCAAGGCCACACUUCACUCCACCCUCCACCUCCGAGAAACCCCACCACAAGCAAACCUCCUGUCUCCGUACUCACCACCGUCGCAGAUGGGCCCCAUCACCGGAACCCUAGUUGCCGAUUUCUCCGGUUGCAGGUUAUUCUCUGGUCGCAGCCCGUAGGGGUUGAGGAAGAAGUUGCCCCUUCAGUCUUCGAAUCUCCAUUCCCCUUUCUUCUUUAGUAAAAAUAAAAAUCAAAUUUUUUUCAAUCCCUAAAAGCAGAUAUCUUUUUCUCCAGAAACCCUUUUAUAUAUGAAAAAGAAUGUUCAAGAUUGAUUGUAGAAGAGGUGUAGAGCGAUCUUUGUAAUGAUUUGUGUUGGGAGGUGAUGAUAAUCAAACCCUACAAUGGCGAAAUUGAAGAGCGGUGAAGGGGGAAAGGCCAAAAUUCUGAAAUUGGAUGUAUAUGUAAGAGAAUGUGAAGUGAAAUUGGUAGCUAUGAAAUUGGGAUUUCACAUUUGAUUACAAAAAAGUGAACUAUCAGCUAAAGUCGGCAAGAAGCCCGCCAACAAGAAUUGGAAAUAAGCUUGCUUUCUGGGCUUGCAAAAUGGACUUUUUGAAAUUUGUAUAUGCAGUUUUACCGUAUUUGACUUCUAGAAGCAACUGGGUUGCAGAUCUGCAAAGGCUUAGGGGCGAUGGGUGUGGCCGGAGUGGUAGCAGCAGGAUGUGGUGGUGGCGGUAGGAUGAGGUGGUGGUGGUAAUAUGUGGUGGUUAGGACAAGAUAUAUAGUGUAUAUGUAAUUUUUUGGUUUUAUUUAUUAAAUAGUGUAUAUGAAUAAACUUAACUGAAAAUUAUAAUC